AGAGUUUGAUCCUGGCUCAGAACGAACGCUGGCGGCAUGCCUAACACAUGCAAGUCGAACGAGACCUUCGGGUCUAGUGGCGCACGGGUGCGUAACACGUGGGAAUCUGCCCUUAGGUUCGGAAUAACUCAGGGAAACUUGAGCUAAUACCGAAUGUGCCCUUCGGGGGAAAGAUUUAUCGCCUUUAGAGCGGCCCGCGCAGGAUUAGCUAGUUGGUGAGGUAAAGGCUCACCAAGGCUACGAUCCUUAGCUGGUCUGAGAGGAUGACCAGCCACAUUGGGACUGAGACACGGCCCAAACUCCUACGGGAGGCAGCAGUGGGGAAUCUUGCGCAAUGGGCGAAAGCCUGACGCAGCCAUGCCGCGUGUAUGAUGAAGGUCUUAGGAUUGUAAAAUACUUUCACCGGUGAAGAUAAUGACUGUAGCCGGAGAAGAAGCCCCGGCUAACUCCGUGCCAGCAGCCGCGGUAAUACGGAGGGGGCUAGCGUUGUUCGGAAUUACUGGGCGUAAAGCGUACGUAGGCGGCUUUGUAAGUAAGAGGUGAAAGCCUGGAGCUCAACUCCAGAACUGCCUUUUAGACUGCAUCGCUUGAAUCCAGGAGAGGUGAGUGGAAUUCCGAGUGUAGAGGUGAAAUUCGUAGAUAUUCGGAAGAACACCAGUGGCGAAGGCGGCUCACUGGACUGGUAUUGACGCUGAGGUACGAAAGCGUGGGGAGCAAACAGGAUUAGAUACCCUGGUAGUCG
rnacentral:rRNA from 1 species